rnacentral:rRNA from 1 species
UACGUAGGGUGCGAGCGUUAAUCGGAAUUACUGGGCGUAAAGCGUGCGCAGGCGGUUCGUUGUGUCGGUGGUGAAAUCCCCGGGCUUAACCUGGGAAUGGCCAUGGAAACUGGCGAACUGGAGUGCGGCAGAGGGGGGUGGAAUUCCGCGUGUAGCAGUGAAAUGCGCAGAUAUCAGGAGGAACACCGGUGGCGAAGGCGGCAUCCUGGACCAAUUCUGACGCUGAGUGAGCGAAAGCCAGGGGAGCAAACGGG